rnacentral:rRNA from 1 species
AGCGAACGCUGGCGGCAGGCCUAACACAUGCAAGUCGAACGAAGUCUUCGGACUUAGUGGCGGACGGGUGAGUAACACGUGGGAACGUGCCCUUUGGUACGGAAUAACUCAGGGAAACUUGAGCUACUACCGUAUGUGCCCUUCGGGGGAAAGAUUUAUCGCCAUUGGAGCGGCCCGCGUCUGAUUAGCUAGUUGGUGAGGUAAAGGCUCACCAAGGCGACGUUCAGUAGCUGGUCUGAGAGGAUGAUCAGCCACCUUGGGACUGAGACACGGCCCAAACUCCUACAGGAGGGAGCAGUGGGGGACCUUGCGCAAUGGGCGAAAGCCUGACGCAGCCAUGCCGCGUGAAUGAUGAAGGACUUAGGAUUGUAAAAUUCUUUCAGCGGGGGCGAUAAUGACGGUACCCGGACAAGAAGCCCCGGCUAACUUCGUGCCAGCCGCCGCGGUAACAC